AGCGAACGCUGGCGGCAGGCUUAACACAUGCAAGUCGAGCGGGCGUAGCAAUACGUCAGCGGCAGACGGGUGAGUAACGCGUGGGAACAUACCUUUUGGUUCGGAACAACACAGGGAAACUUGUGCUAAUACCGGAUAAGCCCUUACGGGGAAAGAUUUAUCGCCGAAAGAUUGGCCCGCGUCUGAUUAGCUAGUUGGUGAGGUAAUGGCUCACCAAGGCGACGAUCAGUAGCUGGUCUGAGAGGAUGAUCAGCCACAUUGGGACUGAGACACGGCCCAAACUCCUACGGGAGGCAGCAGUGGGGAAUAUUGGACAAUGGGGGCAACCCUGAUCCAGCCAUGCCGCGUGAGUGAUGAAGGCCCUAGGGUUGUAAAGCUCUUUUGUGCGGGAAGAUAAUGACGGUACCCGCAUAAGAAGCCCCGGCAAACUUCGUGCCAGCCGCCGCUGUAAAAC
rnacentral:rRNA from 1 species